UAUACAGUCACUCACAUUCAAAGUCGGGCAAACACAAAACAAAAUUUUUAUAUGCAAUAUUUAUGUUUCUAUGACCAAUAAUACUUCUAAUUUUGUUUCUAUUUUAUAGCAAAAACUCUUGUAUAUAAAAAAAACACACACAAAAAUAUUGCAAGUACCGUUAUAAAAUGAAUAUGAAGCCAAAACAAACAAAAAUCACUUUUCAGCAUCACAUUGAAAGUCGGGCAAGCCAUGGUUUUUUGCAGUAAUGCAGUAAACAUACCGUUAUUUUUUGUUUUUUUUUUUUGUAUUUGUUUUACACAUAUUUGGUCAUUGUUGUGUUAUCAGUCAUUCAGUGAAGUUUAUUAGAGUAUUUUAGAAAAUGCCUCGUAAUAUUAGACAGUCCACCAUAGAAGAACGGAAAAUAGUUAUAAACCAGCAUUUGGAAGGAAAAUCUGAACGCGAAAUAUCGAAACUGGUUAAUAUAAGCAAAUCAACGGUCCAUGAUAUUAUCUCCAGAUAUAACGAAAAUGGAUUAAUAUCAAACAAACUACGUAAACCGCGAUCAAAGAAAUUAUCCUCUAAAGACGAGAGUAUGGUUUUAAGAGAAGUGAAGAAAAAUCCCUUUAUAUCUGCACCAAAAUUGACUUCAAUGGUCAAAGAAGCUUCUGGGACAGAAGUUAACCCAGAAACAAUAAGAAGGCUUCUCCGAAAAAAUGACUUCCAUGGCCGAGUUGCACGAAAAAAGCCCCUCAUUAGCAAGAAAAACCAAAAUGACCGUCUUGCCUUUGCCCGUCAAUAUAUGUCUAAGAAUUUUGAUUUUUGGAGGACUGUACUUUUUACUGAUGAAAGUAAAUUUAAUUUAUUUGGAUGUGAUGGAAGGGGCAAAGUAUGGCGCAAACCAAACAAAGAGCUAGAAGCAAAAAACUUAAGAAAAA